GAGUUCCACACUCAGUGGGAAAUGUCUGCUCGCUUAUUGAGACUAAUGCAAUAUUAAAAAGGAAAAUAAAAUAAAAUAAAAGGGAUGGUGGAGGAGCAGAGUGUCUCUCUACCGUCAACUGAGCAUAUUCUCUUCGUUGUCUCUUCUUAUGGUGUGGUAGUGGUGGUGGAGGAUAAGAGAGCAUGCGGGCCCACCCAUCAUCUACACUUCCCGUAUCC
rnacentral:misc_RNA from 1 species